UUGAGAUGUCCCUUGGACUUCAACAGCCAGGCGUUUGGCAAACUGCGGAUGGCUCUGUAAGUCUCAACGUGGAAUCCAUAGUUGCUUUCGGUGAAAUCUGCCUUACUAAUCCAUGUUCAAAUGGGAUGUGUGUUACGUCGCCCGGAGACAUAGAUUACAGAUGCAUUUGCCAUUAUGGAUAUACGGGACAAUAUUGUGAAACAGAGGUAAUUUGCCCCCUGCCUAAUCAGCCCUAUAGUCAAGUUGUAAUGGCUCAAAGCGUCUACAGAGGAGGUGAUUUUAUCACUAUACAGUGCGACGACAAAACGAAAUCUGUUGUAUGGCAAUGCAACGGAACG